rnacentral:snRNA from 1 species
GAAUGUAAAGGCUAUCUGGCUGCGACAUCUGUCACCUCAUUGAUCGCCAGGGUUGACUCGGCUGAUCUGGCUGGCUAGGUAGGUGUCCCCUUUCUCCCUCACCGCAGCUUCAGGAGGGAUGCACCUGGAGCUGUGCUGCCCUGCUAGAACCUCAAAACAAGCUCUCAAGAAAAAAAAAAAAAACAUAAUUCUCAAAAGUAUAACUUUUGUGAACACAUCAGAGAGUAGAUGUUAUAGGACAGCUGGGUAUAAAAUAGAAGGAAUGACAGUUAUUCUCAGGGUGAGCCAGGAUGAACACUGGCUCAGCCCUGG